UGCUCACGCCUCUGCUAGGCUCUUUAUCUUCGUCUUUUAAACUUGGAGUGUGAAUAGCCCUUGGGUCCCGUAUCACAGCUUGGGUCUCAGUUCUAACAAUCACUUGUCAGCACAGAGACGGUCACAAAGAGGGCGUAUGCAGAGGUACCUGUAUCUCUGCAACAGCACAACAUCAAGCUGUAUCAAGCAACCUGGACUCACAACGAAAUCUGAAGAAAGUUGUGGUGCUGGCUACAUACAUUGACCUUACUGUGUCCUCACUGUGUGGGCAAAAAAAGGAAACAUUGGUCCAGAGAGACGCCUCAUAAGUUAAGAGCACUGACUGCUCUUGCAGAGGCCCAAGGGUCUCUUGUCCACCUGGAACCUCAUCCCAUAGGCUGGGAUAACUGACCAGCCAUCUGUCAAGAAGCCCCCUGCCUCUGCAUCCCAUCUGACCCACACCAGAAUAACAGAUGUGUACCCCUGCUCCUGGAUCACUACACAGGUUCCAAAUUCAGUUCCCCCCGCUUUCUACUUGCAAGGGGACAGCUUGCUUGAGCGGCCGAGCGCCUGUCUCUUUGUGGUCAAGAGAACAAAUUAAGAUGACAACUAGUGAAUGCCAACAGUGACAAAUACGUCCCAGGAGGUCAAAGCCGGCCUCACGGACACCCAGAGCUCUCAGAAGUUAUUAAGGAGCUAAAUGCUCUACCCAGGAAGUCAUGGGCCUAAUGGAGCUGUGACUAAAGGAUGCUGCUGAUCCUCCCAAGGGGGCCCAGGGAGACCUGCAGAACGUCACAGAAAAAUGAAAGGCAAAGAGACAGAGAGACAGCUGCGGCCUCCUGUAAACAGUCUGAUUUCCCAAUGCGAACCAGAUUGCAGCCCAGGACCUCAGGUAAACAUGUGCGUCAGUGCCCCCAGGCCCCUGCCGCCCAGGAGGCCCAGGGUCUGCAUGGCCCAACUCUGGGACGCAUCACCGUCACCGCCCAGACGGUUCCUAAUUAGGUAAAAUUAGGCCUUGCAUUCCUCCAAAAUCCCCAAGAUCUCUGCAAUUUCAGGUCUUCCCCAAAGGAAAACAUCGGGUAAUUAAACAGCAUGAGCAAGAAUGGUAUAGAAUGUUCUCUGGCUGAGGAAGCAGCUCUGG